rnacentral:rRNA from 1 species
GACGAACGCUGGCGGCGUGCUUAACACAUGCAAGUCGAACGGAAAGGCCCUGCUUGCAGGGUGCUCGAGUGGCGAACGGGUGAGUAACACGUUGGUGAUCUGCACCUUACUUUGGGAUAAGCCUGGGAAACUGGGUCUAAUACUGGAUAGGACCAUGCUGUAGGUGGUGUGGUGGAAAGAUUAGUUUCGGUAAGGGAUGAGCUCGCGGCCUAUCAGCUUGUUGGUGGGGUAAUGGCCUACCAAGGCGUCGACGGGUAGCCGGCCUGAGAGGGUGGACGGCCACAUUGGGACUGAGAUACGGCCCAGACUCCUACGGGAGGCAGCAGUGGGGAAUAUUGCACAAUGGGCGCAAGCCUGAUGCAGCGACGCCGCGUGGGGGAUGACGGCCUUCGGGUUGUAAACUCCUUUCAGCCAUGACGAAGCCCUUGUGGUGACGGUAGUGGUAGAAGAAGCACCGGCUAACUACGU